rnacentral:rRNA from 1 species
CAGCCGUAAACAAUGUGCGUUAGGUGUGUCGGUAACCACGUGUUACUGAUGCGCCGAAGAGAAAUCGUGAAACGCACCACCUGGGAAGUACGGUCGCAAGGCUGAAACUUAAAGAAAUUGGCGGGGGAGCACCACAACAGGUGGAGCCUGCGGUUUAAUUGGAUUCAACGCCGGACAUCUCACCGGAUAAGACAGCUGAAUGAUUGUCAAUCUGAUGACCUUGCCUGAUUUUCCGAGAGGAGGUGCAUGGCGUAGUCGUGU